GAAUGUGGGGGCAAUCUGGCUGUGACAUCUGUCACCCCAUUGAUCACCAGGGUUAAUUCGGCUGAUCUGGCUGACUGAAGUGGGUGACUCCUUCCUUCUUCUCUGUCCCAUGUGCAUCCCUCCCAAAGCUGAGUGCUGGGUCCAAGAGGACCUUCCCCCAUAGAGGAGGACUGUUCUUCCAUCAAGAGUAUAGGAGUAGCUGCAUCUCCUGCUACAACCUCCAAACAAGCUCUCAAGAAAUAGGUUGACAUGAUUAUGGAGGGUGGCAAGUUCAAAAUCUACAGGGUGGGUUGGCGGGCUAGAGAUCCAGAUAGGUGCCAGUGUUG
rnacentral:snRNA from 1 species